rnacentral:lncRNA from 1 species
GCUGGCACCGCUUUAGCGUCCGGGGGCCGCUUAUAUCUUUUCUCUGAGACACGCCUCCUGGGCUCUCCGGCCCAGGCCAGCGCGCUGGACCCUGGGUACCUGGCUGAAGACUUUGGACUUUAACCUGGAGAUGAUGGAGAGUAUGCAGGAUAAAGUCCAUACCAAAUCCAACGCCUAGCAAAUGGAGAACAAGCCAAAACUAACAAGAUAAAAUGUAGCAGGAAAAAGUGCAAAGAGCUGAAGUGUGGAAUAAGUGGGAGAGGUCUGCCAUGCCCUAUCUGACCUUGCUGCCAUGAUCUUUAAGGCUGUGUGUCCUGGUUGGUGCAGCUACAAGAUGGCAGAAAUGCCUAAGUGAUGGUAUGGAACAGAGGAUCCCUCUUCUCACCAUUGUCUUGCAUGUUUCCUUGUGUGAACCACAAAUAAACUUUUGUUAUGUUAAGCUGC